CUACGGGCGGCUGCAGUGGGGAAUAUUGCACAAUGGAGGAAACUCUGACGCAGCAACGCCGCGUGGAGGAUGACACUUUUCGGAGCGUAAACUCCUUUUAUAUAGGAAGAAGAUGACGGUACUAUAUGAAUAAGCGCCGGCUAACUCCGUGCCAGCAGCCGCGGUAAUACGGAGGGCGCAAGCGUUACUCGGAAUCACUGGGCGUAAAGAGCGUGUAGGCGGAUUAAAAAGUCAGAAGUGAAAUCCUAUAGCUUAACUAUAGAACUGCUUCUGCAACUCUUAAUCUAGAAUAUGGGAGAGGUAGAUGGAAUUACUGGUGUAGGGGUAAAAUCCGUAGAGAUCAGAAGGAAUACCGAUUGCGAAGGCGAUCUACUAGAACAUUAUUGACGCUGAGACGCGAAAGCGUGGGGAGCAAACAGGAUUAGAUACCCCGAUAGUC
rnacentral:rRNA from 1 species